UGGCAGUGAUUUGAAUCUUACCCGUGCUUCUAACUAAUUCAUGAAGUACAAGUUAAAACAUGGUUGAAUUUCUUAAUAUGAGCCA
rnacentral:snoRNA from 3 species